AUGCUGCUAGAGGCGACAUUCUACCUAAGGGAGUCUGAAGCAUUUUCAUCGACCGUCCCUCCUUUACUUUUUGAAUUCCAGCUUGUCAUGGAAAAAUUUGUUCAGGAGUCUGUCAUCACCCAUUCUGAGAACAUCACCUGCCCAUAUAAGCUGAGCUUUGAUGAUCAUUGCCUUGAUGCUGGUUGGUUUUGCUCUUUCAAGGAUAUGAAGUUUUGCAUGUUACCUCUCCAGUGGACCUUCAGAAUACAUUGAAGUCAAGGCAUUUGAUAUUUUUCAAGUUGCUUGAUGUUUGCAAUAAACUGUCCAUUUUUCACACCCCGGUCAGAGGGAUGCUAUCACUGCCGCAUUGUACAUCAGUGCUGUUGACAGUUCAGUGGUGUGGUGGUUGUGUAUCCUGUGGCAAAGUCUUCCAAAAGCCUGAAUUGCCUUUUGUAUUCUGCUUGAUAUUUCUUGAUCCAGGGAGACAUCACUGGAGAUUGUGCUGCCAAGGUAUGUAAAAUGAUUGGUGCUCUUUAGUUCUAUACCAUCGAUGAGGAUGAUGUUUGGCUCAGUGGGAGUGGUUGAUGGGGCCGGUUGGAAGAGGACUUCAGUUUUUUCCAGGCUGAUGCUCAAUCCUUGGCUGUAGCUUCGAAAUCAAAUAUUUCUACUGCAUGAGAUGAUACUUCAGUUACAAUGGGGACGAUAAAGCAUGUCUUGAAAGCAGCUUUCAGGGUGGAAUGGUUACCAGUGACUGUUGCCUAGAUUAUGCUGCAAAGUGAACAGCCAUCAUCAUCACUAACCCAAGGGAAAUGCAAAUCCUCUUCAUCAUAGCGAGUGAUGGAAAUAAAGUGCCAGGGAACUUAAUGGCCAAAGUGGAGAGAGAAACUCUGUACUGCUGUGCUUCCUGCUUCCCUCUCUACCUUUUUGAUCUUAAGUGUUAAUCAACGCAACAGCACAAUGCAUGGAGAAGAAGACAGAAAUAUUUCCCUUUGCUGUUAUUAUUGUUAGAGGAGCGCCUACGGGUUCUGAGACUGGUCAGGUCUGAGAUGGGUUCUGAGACUCGUUGUACCUGUCACUGAAGAGAACACGGUAAGAGUCAGGCCCUGCCCAGUGCACUCACGCUCUGCAGCCCCCAAUCCUGCAAUUUGUACAGGAAACUGUAGGAUUUUCAAAUGUGCCUAAUUUGGUUAGGUACCUAACUCCCAUGAGAAUUAGGUGACUACCCUUUGGUGCUUUUAAGUUCCUAGUUGUAUAUUUAGGUGCCUAAAUACCUUUGACAUUCUGGCCUUUUAUCUUUCUCUGACUCAAUCCCUUGUUUGUAAAAUGGGGAUAAUAAAAAUUAUUUUCUCUCACCUUUUGUCUUUAGAUUGUAAGCUCUUCAGGGCAGAGAUUGUCUCCCGCUAAGGGUCUGUCUACCACAGCAGAGCCCCGAUCUGUGUUAAAACUCCUCCAAGGUGCUCUCAUAAUACAAAUUAAUAAUAAAAAUUUGCAGUCUGCUCUCACAUAGUCCAUGAAGGGAAAAGAGGCAAUAUUCAUCUAUUCCAUUAAUUGACACACAUGGUUUGCCCAGCUCUGCUCAAUGGUUAAUUUCAUUGGUUGGGACAAAAUGGAAAUAAAUGAUGCUGUUUACUUAAUUCAAAGGAAAAUGGGAACCUGCUUACAUAGGAUCAUUGACCUAGUUGUAGUAUCUGAUGCAGUGAAGACAAAUUGUCUACAAGCCUUGGUUUAAUGUAGCGUGGAAAUGUAUUGGGUUUUAUUUAUGCCCACAUAUAAUAUUUAACUGGCUAUUGUGUUGAUUAAAUAUUUAAUUAGCUGCCUGUGAGGGGAAAUGCUCCAUUAGCUAGUGGGGAAUUAAAUUGUUCCUUGUUUCCACUUUUAAAUAAAACGAGUAAUUCACUGUCACUUAAGCAUAAUGUUAAGGUGACAUUUCCAAGGGGAAAAAACAUAGACUUUCUCAGCCGCUGGAAUUAAGUCUGAGUCCAGGCAGAAGAGUUAAGGGGAGGGGGCUCGAGGAUGUUGAUGGGAAUUUACCUUGUGAUGAUGAAUCGAUCCCAAAAUGAAAACCACAUUGAUUCUCCUCAGCACCAUGUUCUGGGAGCACCCAGAGAAGCAGCAUUUGGCUACCUGGAGAUUGUGACGUGCUUGCUCCCUAUACAAUCUACAGCUCAAACUGGCCCUUCCGAGUCUAUUGGCUGGUUCUAGCCCCUCUGCUGAAGAGUGGCAUGGCAGGAUUUUGGACAGUGACGGGAAAUACAGGGAUGGAGCCCAGUGACAGGUCACAAACCAGGUUCGACCUGGCUUUCCUGUGACAAAUUACCAUCAGAAAGACAGCUAUAAUAGUCAUAUGAGAGAAUCCAGGCUAGAUUUGCAGAGGUGGUUGCAGGAGUCUCAUUUGGAAAAGUGAGAGCGUACCAGUUGUGUCCACAACACCUCCCACCCAUUUGCCCACACGAUCUUGAUAUCUAAGCACCUGCAAACACAGGUUUAGUUGGCACGCUGAAUAUGUACGUUAUGGUGCCAAUCUAUCAUAGGUACUUAAAUGCUCCCCAUCACCUGAACACCUCCCAGUGUUUAAUGUAUUUAUCCCCAGCACACCCUUGUAAGCAGGUCAGUGCUAUUACCUGAAUUAAUUCCAAUUCAGCAGUCUCUCGUUGGAAUCUG